rnacentral:rRNA from 1 species
GAUCCCUACGGGGGGCAGCAGUGGGGAAUACUGCACAAUGGGGGAAACCCUGAUGCAGCGACGCCGCGUGAGCGAUGAAGUAUUUCGGUAUGUAAAGCUCUAUCAGCAGGGAAGAAAAUGACGGUACCUGACUAAGAAGCCCCGGCUAACUACGUGCCAGCAGCCGCGGUAAUACGUAGGGGGCAAGCGUUAUCCGGAUUUACUGGGUGUAAAGGGAGCGUAGACGGCGAUGCAAGUCUGAAGUGAAAGGCGGGGGCCCAACCCCCG